CACGUAGGGUGCAAGCGUUGUCCGGAUUCAUUGGGCGUAAAGGGCUAGUAGGCGGCUUAGCAAGUCGGGUGUGAAAACUUCAGGCUCAACCUGGAGCUGCCAUCCGAUACUGCUAUGGCUAGAGUCCGGAAGAGGAGAGUGGAAUUCCUGGUGUAGCGGUGAAAUGCGCAGAUAUCAGGAAGAACACCCGUGGCUAAGGCGGCUCUCUAGUACGGUACUGACGCUGAGACGCGAAAGCGUGGGGAGCGAACAGG
rnacentral:rRNA from 1 species